AGUGAACGCUGGCGGUAGGCCUAACACAUGCAAGUCGAACGGCAGCACAGUAAGAGCUUGCUCUUACGGGUGGCGAGUGGCGGACGGGUGAGGAAUACAUCGGAAUCUACUUUUUCGUGGGGGAUAACGUAGGGAAACUUACGCUAAUCCCGCAUACGACCUACGGGUGAAAGCAGGGGAUCUUCGGCCCUUGCGCGAUUGAAUGAGCCGAUGUCGGAUUAGCUAGUUGGCGGGGUAAAGGCCCACCAAGGCGACGAUCCGUAGCUGGUCUGAGAGGAUGAUCAGCCACACUGGAACUGAGACACGGUCCAGACUCCUACGGGAGGCAGCAGUGGGGAAUAUUGGACAAUGGGCGCAAGCCUGAUCCAGCCAUACCGCGUGUGUGAAGAAGGCCUUCGGGUUGUAAAGCCCUUUUGUUGGGAAAGAAAAGCAGCAGGUUAAUACCCCGCUGUUCUGACGGUACCCAAAGAAUAAGCACCGGCUAACUUCGUG
rnacentral:rRNA from 1 species